UACGUAGGGCGCGAGCGUUGUCCGGAAUUAUUGGGCGUAAAGGGCUCGUAGGCGGCUUGUCACGUCGGGGGUGAAAUACCGGGGCUUAACUCCGGUUCUGCAUUCGAUACGGGCUAGCUAGAGUGUGGUAGGGGAGAUCGGAAUUCCUGGUGUAGCGGUGAAAUGCGCAGAUAUCAGGAGGAACACCGGUGGCGAAGGCGGAUCGCUGGGCCAUUACUGACGCUGAGGCGCGAAAGCGUGGGGAGCAAACGGG
rnacentral:rRNA from 1 species